GUCUUGGUAGCUCAGAGAGAAGACAGAAGAGCACCGGCCUAGCGAUCCGGUGGUCGUGGGUUCAAGUCCCACCCAAGACA